UAGUAGCAUAAAAUUAGGGAGCCAUUGAAAGUCUGUGCAAACUAAUAAAUUAGCCCUUGGAAACUCCAUCCCUCCCUCAAGAAAAAAAAAGUUUGUCACUAAAUUGAAACUAAAAUUUUCCCUGGUGAGUUUCACUCAUUCACUCCCUCAUUUAUUCACAGAUUUUUUUAUCGUCUGCUAUGUGCCUGGUACUCCUCUACACCAAGAGAAUACAGCAAUGAGCAAGACAGGCCCUGCCCCUCGCUCAGGAAGCUUCCUUUUAUCGAGGGGAGACGGGCAAAAGCAAGUAGAAUAAUUUGAAAUUGUGAAAUAACAGCAAAUGAGGGAAAGAAAUUCAAGAGGGAGAGCGAGCCAGUGUGAAUUACAUCCUGGAUAGAAGAAGACCGUAAAUAAUUUUUGGUGAGAUGGAGGUCUGCAGAGGUCUGUACCUCCCAUUUUCAGUCUAGCUGAGACUUCAUGCCUCCCCAAAUGAGGACAGUUAUAAAUGAUGGAACCAGUAAGUGCAAAAUUCCACCUGGACCCUGAAUGCACAGGGCUGAAAACCUGGAUCCAAGCCAGUAGUCAGAGGUGUGCUCACUGAAUGGAUGAUUUACCUAAUCUGGAGGUGAAUGAAGAACCAGACCCAACUCAAAGUAGCAAAGAAAGAAAGCAUCGAUACCUAUAGCAGGAUGACACGUGGUCUUCUUGCUCCCACGUACCUCCAAAGACCACUCCCGGGAAUCUCCAGCCCCCAGGAGAGGUGUGGAAACUGAGACACCAAGAGAAAGUAACCUGACUUUAUGGUAAUGAUUUUGAUUUUGUGGUUUAGAAACUCCAAGUGCCGUGAGGAAGUCAUUCUCUAGGUUUCUGGAAGUACACACAAAUAGGCUGGCUUGGCCUCCACAGUCUGUGGUCCUUCUGUGGUAAAUGGAGGGGCACACCCUCCUCAUCUGACAUCUUACCUCUUGGCAUUUCCUCUGGGCUGCACACUGUGCUGGAUUAGGUGGAAACCUAGGUCAGUCACUCAGGCACUUGCUCCUGAAAUGGCUGAUAGUUGAGGUAGGUGGUUUCAAACUUCUGUUCAAAUCACAUGGAUAAGUGUGACUAUUUUCUCCGUCACACUGCACUAGGGGCCACAGUGACAAACUCUCUUUAUGCUAUAGCCUCUCCAUAUUUUUUCUUUGAAAAUUUCCAAAUAUGCAUAACGAUAGGGAACAUAACAAUCCCCAUGUGUCUACCGCCCCAGCUUUAACCCUCACUGACAUUUUGCCAGACUUGUUUCAUCUCCCAUCCUCCCUUUUUUCUUUUUCCUGGAUAUUUAAAAGUAAAUUCCAGACAUUGUGUUUCACACUUAAAUUCUUCUGUAUGCACCUCAA